UUGCAGCCAUAUCACGUUGAAACACCAGUUCCUGUAUGAUCACCAAAGUUAAGCAAUGCUGAAUUUGGUCAGUACCUAGAUGGGUAAUAACUUGGGAAUACCAUGUACUGUAAG